UCGAGCGCACCUUCGGGUGAGCGGCGGACGGGUUAGUAACGCGUGGGAACAUACCCUUUGGUACGGAAUAGCCUCUGGAAACGGAGAGUAAUACCGUAUGAGCCCUUCGGGGGAAAGAUUUAUCGCCAAAGGAUUGGCCCGCGUUAGAUUAGGUAGUUGGUGGGGUAAUGGCCUACCAAGCCUACGAUCUAUAGCUGGUUUUAGAGGAUGAUCAGCAACACUGGGACUGAGACACGGCCCAGACUCCUACGGGAGGCAGCAGUGGGGAAUCUUGGACAAUGGAUCCAACCCUGAUCCAGCCAUGCCGCGUGAGUGAUGAAGGCCUUAGGGUCGUAAAGCUCUUUCGCCUGUGAAGAUAAUGACGGUAGCAGGUAAAGAAACCCCGGCUAACUCCGUGCCAGCAGCCGCGGUAAUACGGAGGGGGUUAGCGUUGUUCGGAAUUACUGGGCGUAAAGCGCACGUAGGCGGACUGGAAAGUUGGGGGUGAAAUCCCAGGGCUCAACCCUGGAACUGCCUCCAAAACUAUCAGUCUAGAGUUCGAGAGAGGUGAGUGGAAUUCCGAGUGUAGAGGUGAAAUUCGUAGAUAUUCGGAGGAACACCAGUGGCGAAGGCG
rnacentral:rRNA from 1 species